rnacentral:rRNA from 1 species
GAUGAACGCUGGCGGCGUGCCUAAUACAUGCAAGUCGAGCGAACGGACGAGACGCUUGCUUCUCUGAUGUUAGCGGCGGACGGGUGAGUAACACGUGUAUACCCUACCUAUCAGACUGGGAUAACUUCGGGAAACCGGAGCUAAUACCGGAUAAUAUUUUGAACCGCAUGGUUCAAAAGUGAAAGACGGUCUUGCUGUCACUUCUAGAUGGAUCCGCGCUGCAUUAGCUAGUUGGUACGGUAACGGCUUACCAAGGCAACGAUGCAUAGCCGACCUGUGAGGGUGAUCGGCCACACUGGAACUGAGCCGCGCUCAAGACUACUACGGGAGGCCGCAGUAGGGAAUGGUCCGCAAUGGGCGAAAGUCUGACGGAGCAACGGCACGUGAGUGAUGAAGGUGCUCGGAGCGUAAAGCUCGGUUAUUAGGGAAGAACAUAUGUGGAAGGAGACGUGCACAGCUUGACGGUACCUAAUCAGAAAGCCACGGCUAACUACGUG